GACACAUUUUCCACUGGCUAAACCAUGGUAUGAUCUACAAGCACGACCGUACCAACCAUAGUGGCCCUAUCAGAUAUCUACAGUCACAACAGUACUUAGCCAAGGGUGACCUCUAAUAGAUAUUCGUGUUACCACUCUUAUUAGAGGGUAAGUCGUUAUCCAUUGGGAGCGGUCCCUUUAUGUCUUUCCAGACUAAAUGGGGGAGGGGGAAACAAAUACCCCAAAGGGCUAGAGGAAUAAUACCUCUCUAAGAUAAAAAGCUUAACGAGACACUUGAUGCAAUAUCCAUGUCAAUACAAAUAUGCUUUUCAGACCGUUCAAUCUUUAUUUCACUUUUCUCUUUUUUUUAUUCUUUAUUUUCACCAGGCAACAAUACCAACUUCAUAUUA
rnacentral:lncRNA from 1 species